UACGAAGGGGGCUAGCGUUGUUCGGCUUCACGGGGCGUAAAGAGCACGUAGGCGGAUGUGUCAGUCAGGGGUGAAAUCCCGGGGCUCAACCUCGGAACUGCCUCUGAUACAGCACGUCUUGAGUCCGGAAGAGGUGGGUGGAAUUCCUAGUGUAGAGGUGAAAUUCGUAGAUAUUAGGAAGAACACCGGUGGCGAAGGCGACCCACUGGUCCGGUACUGACGCUGAGGUGCGAAAGCGUGGGGAGCAAACAGG
rnacentral:rRNA from 1 species